rnacentral:rRNA from 1 species
GAUGAACGCUGGCGGCGUGCCUAAUACAUGCGAGUCGAGCGAACGGACGAGAAGCUUGCUUCUCUGAUGUUAGCGGCGGACGGGUGAGUAACACGUGGAUAACCUACCUAUAAGACUGGGAUAACUUCGGGAAACCGGAGCUAAUACCGGAUGAUAUUUUGAACCGCAUGGUUCACAAGUGAAAGACGGUCUUGCUGUCACUUAUAGAUGGAUCCGCGCUGCAUUAGCUAGUUGGUAAGGUAACGGCUUACCAAGGCAACGAUGCAUAGCCGACCUGAGAGGGUGAUCGGCCACACUGGAACUGAGACACGGUCCAGACUCCUGCGGGAGGCAGCAGUAGGGAAUCUUCCGCAAGGGGCGAAAGCCUGACGGAGCAACGCCGCGUGAGUGAUGAAGGUCUUCGGAUCGUAAAACUCUGUUAUUAGGGAAGAACAUAUGUGUAAGUAACUGUGCACAUCUUGACGGUACCUAAUCAGAAAGCCACGGCUAACUACGUG